AGCUAGCAUGGCAUAGUGGUUUGAGCUUUGGACUAUGACUCUGAGGACCAGGAUUUGAAUCCCUGCUUGGCCA